CAGCACCUCAAGUGGUCAGGAUGAUUAUUGGGCCUAAAGCAUCCGUAGCCGGCUCUGUAAGUUUUCGGUUAAAUCUGUAUGCUCAACAUACAGGCUGCCGGGAAUACUGCAGAGCUAGGGAGUGGGAGAGGUAGACGGUACUCGGUAGGAAGGGGUAAAAUCCUUUGAUCUAUUGAUGACCACCUGUGGCGAAGGCGGUCUACCAGAACACGUCCGACGGUGAGGGAUGAAAGCUGGGGGAGCAAACCGGAUUAGAUACCCGUGUAGUCC
rnacentral:rRNA from 1 species